UCUAAGUAUAACCUGCCAGACAGGGAAACUGCGUACGGCUCAUUACACCAGCCUUAAUUUACUUGACCUUGACCACCUACUUGGAUAACUGUGGUAAUUCUAGAGCUUAUACAUGCACCAAAGCUCCGAUCCUCGCGGAGAGGAGCGCAUUUGUUCGCCACAAAACCAAGCGCCCAUCUGGGCGUCCAGUGCUGAACCAGAACAACUCAGCUGAUCGCACGGUCUUGUACCGGCGACGUGUCUUUCAAGUGUCUGCCUUAUCAACUUUCGAUGGUAGUGUACCUGACUACCAUGGUUGUGACGGGUAACGGAGGAUAAGGGUUCGACUCCGGAGAAGGGGCCUGAGAAAUGGCCACUACGUCUAAGGAUGGCAGCAGGCGCGCAAAUUACCCACUCUCAACGCGAGGAGGUAGUGACGAGAAAUAACGAGACCGUUCUCAUACGAGGCCGGUUAUUGGAAUGGGUACAAUUUAAA
rnacentral:rRNA from 1 species